rnacentral:rRNA from 1 species
UACAGAGGGUGCGAGCGUUAUCCGGAUUCACUGGGUUUAAAGGGUGUGUAGGCGGGUAUUUAAGUCAGUGGUGAAAUCUCCAGGCUCAACCUGGAAACUGCCAUUGAUACUAUAUAUCUUGAAUUUUGUUGAGGUAGGCGGAAUAUGUCAUGUAGCGGUGAAAUGCAUAGAUAUGACAUAGAACACCAAUUGCGAAGGCAGCUUACUAAGCAAAUAUUGACGCUGAGGCACGAAAGCGUGGGGAUCAAACAGG